UACGAAGGGGGCUAGCGUUGCUCGGAAUUACUGGGCGUAAAGGGAGCGUAGGCGGACAUUUAAGUCAGAGGUGAAAUCCCGGAGCUUAACUUCGGAACUGCCUUUGAUACUGGAUGUCUUGAGUGUGAGAGAGGUAUGUGGAACUCCGAGUGUAGCGGUGAAAUGCGUAGAGAUUUGGAGGAAUACCAAUGGCGAAGGCGGCUCACUGGUCCAUUACUGACGCUGAGGUGCGAAAGCGUGGGGAGCAAACAGG
rnacentral:rRNA from 1 species